rnacentral:rRNA from 1 species
AGUGAACGCUGGCGGUAGGCCUAACACAUGCAAGUCGAACGGCAGCACAGUAAGAGCUUGCUCUUACGGGUGGCGAGUGGCGGACGGGUGAGGAAUACAUCGGAAUCUACUUUUUCGUGGGGGAUAACGUAGGGAAACUUGCGCUAAUACCGCAUACGACCUACGGGUGAAAGCAGGGGAUCUUCGGACCUUGCGCGAUUGAAUGAGCCGAUGUCGGAUUAGCUAGUUGGCGGGGUAAAGGCCCACCAAGGCGACGAUCCGUAGCUGGUCUGAGAGGAUGAUCCGCCACACUGAAACUGAGACGCGGCCCAGACUCCGAGGGGAGGCAGAGGGGGGGAAUAUUGGAAAAUGGGCGCAAGCGUGAUCCAGCCAUCCCGGGUGGGUGAAGAAGGCCUGCGGGUUGUAAAGCCUUUUUGUGGGGAAAAAAAAGCGGCGGGUUAAACCCCCGGUGUUUUGCGGGUACCCAAAGAAAAAGCCCCGGCAACCUUCGU